CCCUAUGGGGUCAUGGUCACUGGUCUCGAUAUUCUGCCGCAGAUGGUUGAUCUUUCGAGCCGGCGCGCCUCUGAAUACGGUCUUGACGGCGUCAAGUUUAUCGAGGGAGAUAUUCUCGAACGGUCCCUUCCGGAGGCCUCUUUCGACCUUGUCCACAGCCGCGACGCCUUUCUCUACAUCCAAGACAAGCUGGCACUGUUUCAAAUGCUGCACCGGCUUCUUGCUCCGGCGGGACAACUAUUCGUCAGUGACUAUGCAUGUGGUCCCGGCCCUUUAUCCGAUGAGUUCACCCAAUACUCGAACGGUGCUGGGUACCACCUUGAGGAACCCGAGGCCUACGGCGCCAUUGUGCAAAAGGCUAGGUUUCAAGACGUGCAGGCGCAGGAUAUGACUGGCGAAUUCAUCGCGAUUCUCCAGCGGGAAUUGGCGGGGGAGC
rnacentral:rRNA from 1 species